rfam:Triticum aestivum genome assembly, contig: Triticum_aestivum_CS42_TGACv1_scaffold_031715_1BL
UUUGUACUCCCUCCGUCCAGAAUUACUCGUCCAAGAAAUGAAUGUAUCUACAUAUAUUUUAGUUGUAGAUACAUCCAUUUUUAUCCAUUUUGUGACAAGUAAUUCCGGACGGAGGGAGUACUAC